GGUAGGGAUGGGGCAGAGAAGUAGAAUUGGAAGGAACACAGAGGUGUCUUCUGUAGUGUGGGAGAGGGGAGUGGGACUACAGAUACACUGUGUGUGGGAAAACAUGACUGUGAUGUAAGGCUGUACACCUGGGGGGAAUGUGGUGUAACCAGGCAUGCCUGUUUGUUUGUGUCACCAGAAACAAUGUGUUUACAACUGUUCCCUUCAGAUAUGCUUCUAAAUUCCAAGGUAUAUGAGAACACUUCUAUCCUAAGCAAGGAAGAGGCUUGAUGGAUUAAGAAAGGCAUAGUGUUUGUAUCAUUGCACUCUGGUCCCACGUGGAAAGGUGUAGCAUGCCCAGGCACCCCACCCACCUUCUUGCAAAAUCAUUGAUGAAGACAGAUGACAACUAAGAGAUGCCAGCUGGGUCAAAAUGAUUAUGGACAGGUCCAAGAUGCUUCCCCCCUCUAAAUGAGCCACUAUCGAAAAACCUGAUGAAACAAACAUGAACCAAUCAGCCCAAAAGAGAACCCAGAUGUUUUCCUCAGGAUUUCCAGGGUUGUUUAUCUAAGCUGCCAGCCAGAAUGAAAAUUGGUUCCUCUUGAAGCUCCUGCAAAAGAUUUGAUGAUUUUGUGACCUAGCUCUUGGAAUCAAAGCUUAACCUCCAAGUCAAACCAACCAUCCCUAUUUCCAGUACAUACAGAAGUACAACCAUCCUGCAGGGAGGAAGUUGCUGCUGAACUCUUCAAG